UGCUGACAUAAGUAACGAUAAAGCGGGUGAAAAGCCCGCUCGCCGGAAGACCAAGGGUUCCUGUCCAACGUUAAUCGGGGCAGGGUGAGUCGACCCCUAAGGCGAGGCCGAAAGGCGUAGUCGAUGGGAAACGGGUUAAUAUUCCCGUACUUGGUGUUACUGCGAAGGGGGGACGGAGAAGGCUAUGUUGGCCGGGCGACGGUUGUCCCGGUUUAAGCGUGUAGGUGUGUGUUCCAGGUAAAUCCGGUUCACUUUAACACUGAGGCGUGACGACGAGGCACUACGGUGCUGAAGCAACAAAUGCCCUGCUUCCAGGAAAAGCCUCUAAGCAUCAGGUAACAUCAAAUCGUACCCCAAACCGACACAGGUGGUCAGGUAGAGAAUACCAAGGCGCUUGAGAGAACUCGGGUGAAGGAACUAGGCAAAAUGGUGCCGUAACUUCGGGAGAAGGCACGCUGACAC
rnacentral:rRNA from 1 species